rnacentral:rRNA from 1 species
ACGGGAGGCAGCAGUGAGGAAUAUUGGUCAAUGGACGGAAGUCUGAACCAGCCAAGUCGCGUGCGGGAUGAAGGCCCUACGGGUCGUAAACCGCUUUUGUACGGGGAUAAAGUCACCCACGUGUGGGUGUUUGUAGGUACCGUAAGAAUAAGGAUCGGCUAACUCCGUGCCAGCAGCCGCGGUAAUACGGAGGAUGCGAGCGUUAUCCGGAUUUAUUGGGUUUAAAGGGUGCGUAGGCGGAUGAUUAAGUCAGCGGUGAAAGCGUGUUGCUCAACAAUACCAAGCCGUUGAAACUGGUUAUCUUGAGUGUAAACGAGGUAGGCGGAAUGUGACGUGUAGCGGUGAAAUGCUUAGAUAUGUCACAGAACCCCGAUUGCGAAGGCAGCUUACCAGCAUACAACUGACGCUGAGGCACGAAAGCGUGGGUAUCAAACAGGAUUAGAUACCCUGGUA